AUCGAACGCUGGCGGCAUGCCUUACACAUGCAAGUCGAACGGCAGCACGGGUGCUUGCACCUGGUGGCGAGUGGCGAACGGGUGAGUAAUACAUCGGAACGUACCUUAUCGUGGGGGAUAACGCAGCGAAAGUUGCGCUAAUACUGCAUACGCCCUGAGGGGGAAAGCGGGGGACCGUAAGGCCUCGCGCGAUUAGAGCGGCCGAUGUCUGAUUAGCUUGUUGGUGAGGUAAAAGCUCACCAAGGCGAUGAUCAGUAGCUGGUCUGAGAGGACGAUCAGCCAAACUGGGACUGAGACACGGCCCAGACUCCUACGGGAGGCAGCAGUGGGGAAUUUUGGACAAUGGGGGCAACCCUGAUCCAGCAAUGCCGCGUGAGUGAAGAAGGCCUUCGGGUUGUAAAGCUCUUUUGUCAGGGAAGAAACAGCAGCUCUAACACAGUCUGCGAAUGACGGUACCUGAAGAAUAAGCACCGGCUAACUACGUGCCAGCCGCCGCAGUAA
rnacentral:rRNA from 1 species